AUGGGGGGACUCCGCCGCGGCGGAGGCACGGACGGACUCCACUCCCACCGCCGCCGCCACCCCAGUCCCAAUGCUCCGCCCCAUCUCGCCGCCGGAGUUGGAUCCUCGAGCAAACAAGGAGGUGGACCUGGGAUGCAUUCCAAUUCUUUGUUUGAUGGGAGCAGGCUUUGUACACCCAAAAGAGCUGGUCGCACCCCAAUGAAAAUGCUAAUAGAUGACGACGUCUAUAGAGAUGUCACUGCUAGGCACACAUCGCCUGGUGUUGUGGGAAGGCUCAUGGGCCUUGACAUAAUGCCUUCACUUGGAGUGCACAACCAAGAUACAUGUAACGGGGACCGUUCACAGGGCAGGUCACCAGGGAGUUGCAGUGAUAAAUCAGGGAAUUAUAGUGACAGACAUGCCUUCUCGGGAGACGUUCCACGUAGGGCAAGCACUGAUGAGAUUCCGGAAUUCAAAGAUGUUUUCGAAGUAAUGGAGACCACCAGAAUGAAGAACCGAAACCGUAACACUUGUUCUGGACAUGACAGGGUUAACAGUGCUGACCUCAAUUUUGUAAGGCAGAAAUUUAUGGAUGCAAAACGUCUUUCUGCUGAUGAAUCUUUUCAGAGAUCGAAAGAGUUCAAUAGUGCGCUAGAGGCAUUGGUAUCAAAUAAAGAUGCUCUCAUGGAAAUUCUUCAAGAAUCCAACAAUGUUGCCGCGAGUGAUCUGUCCGGCCUCGGUUGUCCUCCAUCCUCUGGCGUAAACCGGAUCACGCUGUUGAAACCAUCCAGAAGAAGUAAGUUUAUUGACGCAGAUAUUGUCUAUCCACCAGAAGAUGACACUGAACGGUGCUUUCACUCACCAAAAGAAGCAAAGCAUUCUCCAAGGAAGCCUCACAGUAACUUUUCUAGUGAAGCUCCCAAAGUAGAAACUGGCUCUUUCAGACAAAAGUUGUCUAGGUCAAGCUACAGGGAGAGCAUCGAUAAGCGUGUUUCUCCCACUCGGAUUGUUGUCUUGAAACCAUGCCUCGAUAAAAAUCUGAACAUGGAAGGGGCAUUUCCAAUAACCAAUGACAUGUUCUGCUCCAGUUACAGAAGGACUGAAGCAUGCCUAGAUGAUGGCAUUCAAAGGCAGCAUGCAGAAGAAUCCAUGCCUCAGAUCUCCACAGCAUAUCCCGAUGCACGGCGCCAAAGAGCACAGGGGUCCAGAGAAAUUGCCCGAGAGGUUUCGACACAAAUGAAGACAGCUGCUGUCAGGGGAGUUGCAAAUGGAAAACAGAAACUCAGUCCAGAUAUUGGGACGUCCAACCGGGAUGAGCAGGUGUCUUUGUUGACAUCCAUGGCUAAGCUAAAAAGUUCGGCAGCAUUGCAAAGAUCUUCUGGUGUACGUGAUGCUCCGGAUGGUUCUUGCGCAGGGACUUCACCGACACAUUCAGCUAAGAGAUCAAUUAGGAAGGAAGCAAGGAGACGCCUAGCUGACAGAUGGAAGACGACCCAGCAACAUCAACAUCCAUCACCAGAUGGUAAUGCUACAUUCAGCACACUUGGGGACAUGCUUGCUCUCUCUGACAAAGAGACCUCAAAGUUUACUUCAGGGGCAGCAGCUAGCCGGCCAUGGCCAGAGGGUGAGUCACUUAGGGAUGUGAUGCCAGGAUCAUGUGGUUAUCCUCUUGGUAUCAGCAGCAAUGAUGGCUGGAAAGAUGAGAACAUAUGUGGCUUAACAAGGUUGGAGUCUGUUUCUACAUCAUCCAUCAACCGAGGCAGUCCAAAAUCGAGCAGCAGAAAAGCAAGUAACAGGCAUGGUGAAUAUUCUAUGGCAGAGAACGUCAUCGGAUCAGGGCCUUAUAAUUCUGAAGAUAUGCAUCAGGACAGACCAAGGAGAUUGUUAGUCAGAAGUUCGACGCAUCGCUCUGAUGAAAGCGAUGUGCAGUCUCUGGAUGAAGUGCAAAGUGUGGUGACCGAGCGCGAGAUCCAUGUGAAUUUUGAAGAACCAACUUACACCGGUGCAGUGCCAGAGCUAUCUGAAACUGGAGGAAGACUUGUGCACGGUGGAAAUUCUGACCAUUUGGAUAGCAGCCAUGCAGUUCCAGAAUGGCAGGGGGAGGCUCAGGCUUCUGCACAGAACAUGAUGCUGGACCAAGAGCACGCAUUCGCAACAGAUGACCAUUUUAUUGUACCUAGUCCUAGAUAUUCAGCGUCUCAGAUUGAGGGGAAUGGGCAAGAUCGAUGUGAUGACAAUGAAGCUCCAUCCGAUCAUCUGACAGAAUUAGUAUCCGUCGUGAGCUCCAACGAAGACGAACAGCCGAGUCCGGUGUCUGUCCUCGGAUCGUCGGUGGACGCCGAGGACUGUUGUUCAGGAGGUUUUGAGAAAAUAAGUGCAGACCUUCAAGGCAAGUGCAGAAACAUGCACACUGCCAAACCACCUUCCUGUCACUGUCCAUAUCACUCACUUGACUUGCUUUUGUCUGUUACAGGGCUGAGGAUGCAACUUCGGCUGCUCAAGAUGGAGGCGACGGGCAACGCAGAUGACGAAACCGACCUCGCUUUGUUCAGCGACGACGAUGAAACCGCCGCGAGCUGCGAGCUAGCCAACGAAGGCGUGCCGACAGUGUCCCGUACUUUCCGGGAUGAAGACGAGAGGGACUUCUCUUAUGUGGCUGACAUGCUCACAUUUCUAGCCAACCAGAGUUCUGAGCAUGAUCUCCUGCUCGGCGUGCGCUAUCUGUCACCGGGGUCUCCGGCGCGCGGCGACGCGUACGAUGAGCUCGAGAGGAAGUACGGCGAGCUCGUCCCGUGGGCGCGGCCCGAGAGGCGGCUCCUCUUCGACCUGGCGAAGGAUGUGCUCGUCGACGUGGUCGCCUGUCUGACGCAGUGCGGCGGUCAGCAGGGGCUGGCGGGGAAGUGUCGGCAGGGCAUGGAAUGGGACAGGGAGAGGGUCGUGGAGGAGGUGUGGGAGAGGGUGCGCCGGCAGCGGCGCGAGACGGAGUGCUUCCAGGAGGAGAAGCUGAUGGGCGUGGGGUGGCUGGACUGCGAGGAUGUCACUGAUGAGAUCGUGGAAGACAUUGGGAGCAUGCUGGGUGAGGAUCUCCUGGAGGAAGCCAUAGCUGAUCUCUAUCUGCUGGACCUUUUUGGUUAA
rnacentral:rRNA from 1 species